ACGCUGGCGGCGUGCCUAACACAUGCAAGUCGAACGGUAACAGGGACUUCGGUCCGCUGACGAGUGGCGCACGGGUGAGUAACGCGUGGAUAUCUGCCUAUUAGUGGGGGACAACUACGGGAAACCGUAGCUAAUACCGCAUAAUCUCUACGGAGGAAAGCAGGGGACCUUUCGGGGCCUUGUGCUGAUAGAUGAGUCCGCGUCUGAUUAGCUAGUUGGUGGGGUAAAGGCCUACCAAGGCGAUGAUCAGUAACUGGUUUGAGAGGAUGAUCAGUCACACUGGAACUGAGACACGGUCCAGACUCCUACGGGAGGCAGCAGUGGGGAAUAUUGCACAAUGGGGGAAACCCUGAUGCAGCGACGCCGCGUGCGGGAAGAAGGCCUUCGGGUUGUAAACCGCUUUCAAUUGGGAAGAAGAGAUGAGUACUAAUAUUGCUCUGAUUUGACGGUACCUUUAGAAGAAGCACCGGCUAAUUUCGUGCCAGCAGCCGCGGUAAUACGAAAGGUGCAAGCGUUGUUCGGAUUUACUGGGCGUAAAGAGAUCGUAGGUGGUUUAUUAAGUCGGAUGUGAAAUCCCGGGGCUCAACCCCGGAACUGCAUUCGAUACUGGUAGACUAGAGUUUGGGAGGGGUAAGCGGAAUUCCGUGUGUAGCAGUGAAAUGCGUAGAUAUACGGAGGAACACCUGAGGCGAAGGCGGCUUACUGGACCAAUACUGACACUGAGGAUCGAAAGCGUGGGUAGCAAACAGGAUUAGAUACCCUGGUAGUCCACGCCCUAAACGAUGUCAACUAGCCGUUGCGGGUAUCGACCCCUGCAGUGGCGAAGCUAACGCGAUAAGUUGACCGCCUGGGGAGUACGG
rnacentral:rRNA from 1 species